rnacentral:rRNA from 1 species
AGUGAACGCUGGCGGCAGGCCUAACACAUGCAAGUCGAGCGGAAGAACGGUGCUAGCUUGUGGAUACAGCGGGGGACGGGCGGGUGAGUCAGGGGAAUAUCCGAGGCUGCGGUUUAGAACGUCCGAAAGUGGGGGCUAAUACGCUAAUAGCGCAUAGGAAGAAAGGGGGGGAGCAUGGGAUCUUACGCUAUCAGAUGAGCCUAGGUGGGAUUAGCUAGUUGGUUGGGUAAAGGCCUACCAAGGCGACGAUCCGAAGCUGGUCUGAGAGGAUGAUCAGUCACACUGGAACUGAGACACGGUCCAGACUCCUACGGGAGGCAGCAGUGGGGAAUAUUGGACAAUGGGCGAAAGCCUGAUCCAGCCAUGCCGCGUGUGUGAAGAAGGCCUUCGGAUUGUAAAGCCCUUUUAGUUGGGAAGAAAAGCAGUAGGUUAAUACCCUGCUGUUUUGACGGUACCCACAGAAUAAGCACCGGCUAACUUCGUG